AGUGAACGCUGGCGGUAGGCCUAACACAUGCAAGUCGAACGGCAGCACAGUAAGAGCUUGCUCUUACGGGUGGCGAGUGGCGGACGGGUGAGGAAUACAUCGGAAUCUACUUUUUCGUGGGGGGUAACGUAGGGAAACUUACGCUAAUACCGCAUACGACCUACGGGUGAAAGCAGGGGAUCUUCGGACCUUGCGCGAUUGAAUGAGCCGAUGUCGGAUUAGCUAGUUGGCGGGGUAAAGGCCCACCAAGGCGCCGAUCCGUAGCUGGUCUGAGAGGAUGAUCAGCCACACUGGAACUGAGACACGGUCCAGACUCCUACGGGAGGCAGCAGUGGGGAAUAUUGGACAAUGGGCGCAAGCCUGGUCCAGCCAUACCGCGUGGGUGAAGAAGGCCUUCGGGUUGUAAAGCCCUUUUGUUGGGAAAGAAAAGCAGCAGGUUAAUACCCCGCUGUUCUGACGGUACCCAAAGAAUAAGCACCGGCUAACUUCGUG
rnacentral:rRNA from 1 species